rnacentral:rRNA from 1 species
ACUCUAAGCGGUGAUCACUCGGCUCAUGGUCGAUGAAGAACGCAGCAAACUGUGCGUCAUCGUGUGAACUGCAGGACACAUGAACAUCGACAUUUUGAACGCAUAUCGCAGUCCAUGCUUAUGUACUUAAUUAAUUUUAAAGUGCUGCUUGGACUACAUAUGGUUGAGGGUUGUAAGACUAUGCAAAAUAAGUUGUUCAUAAAUUUCAUUUCAUGAUUUUUAUAAGCACAUGGUAUAUUAUUGGGUAUAAAUAAUUUUAAUGUUAAUUCAUAAUAUUAAAAAUUAUAUGAAAAACAUUUUCUCACAUUGUUGUAAAUAUUUGAAUGUGAAAACGAAGAGAAUAUUCUUUUUUUUUAAAUCAAUAAUUACUGAGAAAUGUCUAGCAUAAAAAAUGUGAAAUAUUUUCAUCUAGAAUUGUCUCUUAUUAAUGAUGCAAAAAAUCGAAAAAUGUUGCUAAUGUUAUUAUUCUCGUUUGGUUUGUUAAAAAAUAUAACAAAUUUAAAUAUAUAAUGUUUCUCAUAUAAAAGAAUUAAUGCUAAUAAAUGUUUUAUACAACCUCAACUCAAUGGGACCCCCUGAAUUUAAGCAUAUUAAUAGGGGAGGAAAAGAAACUAACAAGGAUUUUUAGUAGCGGCGAGCGAAAGAAAUCAGUUCAGCACUAAGUCACUUGUCUAUAUGGCAAAUGUGAGAUGCAGUGUAUGGAGCGUCAAUAUUCUAGUAUGAGAAAUUAACGAUUUAAGUCCUUCUUAAAUGAGGCCAUUUACCCAUAGAGGGUGCCAGGCCCGUAUAACGUUAAUGAUUACUAGAUGAUGUUUCCAAAGAGUCGUGUUGCUUGAUAGUGCAGCACUAAGUGGGUGGUAAACUCCAUCUAAAACUAAAUAUAACCAUGAGACCGAUAGUAAACAAGUACCGUGAGGGAAAGUUGAAAAGAACUCUGAAUAGAGAGUUAAACAGUACGUGAAACUGCUUAGAGGUUAAGCCCGAUGAACCUGAAUAUCCGUUAUGGAAAAUUCAUCAUUAGACUUGUAGUAUUUAAACAAUAUUAUGAUAAUAGUGUGCAUUUUUUCCAUAUAAGGACAUUGUAAUAUUAACAUAACUAAAUUAUCAUAAAAUAUGGCUUAUAGUUUAUUCAAAUUAUUAUGCUUGCAUUUUAACAUAGAAUAAAUGUCAUUAAUUUGAUAAAGUGCUGAUAGAUUUAUAUGACUACAGUGCGUUAAUUUUUCGGAAUUAUAUAAUGGCAUAAUUAUCAUUGAUUUUUGUGUUUAUUAUAUGCACUUGUACGAUUAACAAUGCGAAAGAUUCAGGAUACCUUCGGGACCCGUCUUGAAACACGGACCAAGGAGUCUAACAUAUGUGCAAGUUAUUGGGAUAUAAACCUAAUAGCGUAAUUAACUUGACUAAUAAUGGGAUUAGUUUUUAACUAUUUAUAGCUAAUUAACACAAUCCCGGGCGUUCUAUAUAGUUAUGUAUAAUAAUAUUUAUAUUAUUUAUGCCUCUAACUGGAACGUACCUUGAGCAGAUAUGCUGUGACCCGAAAGAUGGUGAACUAUACUUGAUCAGGUUGAAGUCAGGGGAAACCCUGAUGGAAGACCGAAACAGUUCUGACGUGCAAAUCGAUUGUCAGAAUUGAGUAUAGGGGCGAAAGACCAAUCGAACCAUCUAGUAGCUGGUUCCUUCCGAAGUUUCCCUCAGGAUAGCUGGUGCAUUUUAAUGUUAUAUAAAAUAAUCUUAUCUGGUAAAGCGAAUGAUUAGAGGCCUUAGGGUCGAAACGAUCUUAACCUAUUCUCAAACUUUAAAUGGGUAAGAACCUUAACUUUCUUGAUAUGAAGUUUAAGGUUAUGAUAUAAUGUGCCCAGUGGGCCACUUUUGGUAAGCAGAACUGGCGCUGUGGGAUGAACCAAACGUAAUGUUACGGUGCCCAAAUUAACAACUCAUGCAGAUACCAUGAAAGGCGUUGGUUGCUUAAAACAGCAGGACGGUGAUCAUGGAAGUCGAAAUCCGCUAAGGAGUGUGUAACAACUCACCUGCCGAAGCAACUAGCCCUUAAAAUGGAUGGCGCUUAAGUUGUAUACCUAUACAUUACCGCUAAAGUAGAUGAUUUAUAUUACUUGUAAUAUAAAUUUUGAAACUUUAGUGAGUAGGAAGGUACAAUGGUAUGCGUAGAAGUGUUUGGCGUAAGCCUGCAUGGAGCUGCCAUUGGUACAGAUCUUGGUGGUAGUAGCAAAUAAUCGAAUGAGACCUUGGAGGACUGAAGUGGAGAAGGGUUUCGUGUGAACAGUGGUUGAUCACGAGUUAGUCGGUCCUAAGUUCAAGGCGAAAGCCGAAAAUUUUCAAGUAAUAAAAUGACUAUAUAUUACAAAAAUGCCAAUUAAUAUACUUGAAUAAUUUUGAACGAAAGGGAAUACGGUUCCAAUUCCGUAACCUGUUGAGUAUCCGUUUGUUAUUAAAUAUGGGCCUCGUGCUCAUCCUGGCAACAGGAACGACCAUAAAGAAGCCGUCGAGAGAUAUCGGAAGAGUUUUCUUUUCUGUUUUAUAGCCGUACUACCAUGGAAGUCUUUCGCAGAGAGAUAUGGUAGAUGGGCUAGAAGAGCAUGACAUAUACUGUUGUGUCGAUAUUUUUCCUCGGACCUUGAAAAUUUAUGGUGGGGAUACGCAAACUCUCAACAGGCCGUACCAAUAUCCGCAGCUGGUCUCCAAGGUGAAGAGUCUCUAGUCGAUAGAAUAAUGUAGGUAAGGGAAGUCGGCAAAUUAGAUCCGUAACUUCGGGAUAAGGAUUGGCUCUGAAGAUUGAGAUAGUCGGGCUUGAUUGGGAAACAAUACAUGGUUUAUGUGCUCGUUCUGGGUAAAUAGAGUUUCUAUCAUUUAUGUUAGUUUGCUUGUUC